UGGGGAAUAGCCAAGCGGUAAGGCAUCGGCUUUUGGGUCCGACAUACCCUGGUUCGAAUCCAGGUUCCCCAACCA
rnacentral:tRNA from 2 species